rnacentral:lncRNA from 1 species
CAUCCAUGCCCCAGGAAGGAGGAGCUUAGUUCAAAGUCCAGCUGAUCAAUGUUGUUACAUGCCAAGUAUUAUUAGUGUGGACAACAUAUACAAUUCUAAGUUGCCCAGUGCCCCUUUUACAGCCUCAACAACACCAAGGAUUGUCCAAGUCACGAAAACUUCUCUAAGAUCUUCUGAGUAACAGCACUUGCCAACGAGGCCACAGCAGCCAGGUUGACAUCCAUCACAUUCAAGUAGCAACUUGCAAGAGUUUGUUUUAAAAAACGCAUUUUGUGAGUAAGCAUUGAAGUUGAAGUUCAAAGCAAGCAUCCGUGCAUUCCAGGCCGUGCACAGGCACACAUCUGGGAGAAGGGAGAGGUAUCACUAAUGUUUUCAGGUAAGACCUUUU